rnacentral:lncRNA from 1 species
GUCUGGGUUUAGAGUUUGGUUUUGUUUCUUCUCCUCCAUCAUGUAAUAGAAUUCCCUUAAAUAGGUAAUGAUACUGAAUUUCAUUAGUGUCAAGGAAGAAGUCCAGCUCAGACUUCCGAAUCAGACACAGGUCCUUCUGAAGCAUUCUUCUCCAAGUUCAGUCUCUGUCUAUGUCUGAGGUGGGGUUUCAACCUAGUUGAAAAGUCUCACUUAUCCGUGGAGACUUAUAAUCACCUCAAUAACAAGAGAAUGUUCUGGACUGGAGAUGCAUUAAGGUGCCAAUGUCUGCAUACUUGGCCACUGCCAGAAUCAUCCGUCCACUCGGUGUGAGUGGAAGGCUUAAUAUGAAUAUGAAUUUGAAUGCCUUGAGUCUCCUGGAGAUUUGGGAGUAUUUUCUGUUCUCAUGUUUAUUUGGAGAAGUUUAAGAGUGUUUAGGUUGAAGGCUCUUUUUAGAACUUAUUUAUUUGAAAUUCUUAUUUUAAUGGCAUGUGUAUAUUUUUGUGAUGCUAUAUGAAAUCUCUGUAAACUUUUUGUAUAUAUGUGUACAUAUUUUUAAAUAUCUUGGUAUGCAGUGAUGCAGUGUGUGCAUAUUAUAUACCUAUACCCAUUGUGGGCUGAUUUAUUUUAGUUCUGUGAGGACAUCAGAGUGGCAUUGUUCAUGCUACUAUAAUUAGGUUGUGGCUGGAUAUCCUUCACAAGCCUCAAUUUUAAGGGGCUUGUGCUGAGAUAAAAUGGGCUCCUUUGGAGUUGAAAUUAAGAUAUGAAGAUACUAAGAGUAGGCUGCAUAUUCUCAGCUUUAAAGUCAUCUACAAACUUCCAUUUAAAUUGAUAUAUUUGCUAGAAACCUGAAAAACUAUGAUUGUGAAUCUGAGACACCAGCAGUGUCUUACUUAAUCUAUUAGUUCUUUAUUUUUCUUAGCCCAUAUUUGAGUGUUAGUACUGAGUAGGACUUUGAGGGCUAUUGAAAAAAAUUACUUUGCUCUCACUUGAAAAUAGAAAAUGUCUUUUAAGUUGAAAUAGCCAUGUUUAUCAUUAUAAUAUCUGAUGCUAAAUUUUAAUUUCUGAGUUUUUUUCCAUCAGUCUGCUCAUUCUAUAAGUGUCUCUGUGAGGCAGAAGGGACAUUAGCAAAAAAAGGCCAAACCUCAGUGGGCUGGAUAGAGGGGAACUGGGUUGUUGAUGUGUGUGUGUCUACAGCAGCUGUCUGGCUAAGUAAACUUUUCUUGCUGGCAUUGCAUAUCAAAGAUAAGUCCAUUCAUCUGAAAAAUGCUUCCAGCAAAUUCAGAGCCUUUACUUUUAUUGCUGAGUUCCCUGGGAAUACUUUUACUGUACAAUUUAACCAUACAUUCACACACAAAGUAGAUUUCUUAAUAUGAAGUGCCUAAGAGGCUAUAAAAUCCUAGGCUUCUAGCUGAGCACAAUGUGUGGGGCAGGGAGGGUAUCUAUAAUCCCAGUUCUUAGGAGGGGGAGUUAGAAGUUUGAGGCCAGCUUCUGGUGCAUAGUAAGUUUCAGAUUAGCAUGGGCCACAGGAAACCCUGGCUCAAAAAUCCUAAUAGACUUGGGAUGAUAAUGUUGGAGACAGUAAAAUUACAGAAAAUAUGUACGGUGCCAAUUUGUCUGGGUUUUGCAGCAUAUCAAUAUUUUUAGUUCAUGUGCUUAUUUGCAUGAAUGAAUGUAAGGGAUAUUUAGACACUUGGAUAACUUUACUAUAAAGAAUAAAGUUAUUUCUGCAUUGUAAAAUAACUCCAGGGCAACUUUCUACUGUAUUCUUCCAAAGACCAAAUCUCUCUUAUUACUUUUUCCAAAGAGAAAAAUCAGUUUGAGUCAAUUUUACCACUUCUAAAAUUAUUGCAUUUGCCCCUACCCCAUUGUUAAUAAAACAUCCAGCUAUUCAUAACACUUUUCAAUUAUACUCUUAAGGUUAUCUUUUUCCUGAAAUAAAUUAAGGUACAUUAAUGUGAUUUUUUUUUUCCUGAGAAAUCCUAUCAAAAAAUGUUCACAGACUCUAAUGUUGUUUUAACAACCAAACUUUUUUGAAGAAGGCAGAUCAUAUAUUAUGUUUAAAAUUCAUAAAACUGGGGCUGGAGAGAGGUCUGGGCAGUUAAUAAGAACCUCUUUGUGUUUUGCUUAUCUGAGACAGGAUCUCUUUAUGUAGCCCUGGCUGUCCUGGAGCUUCCUAUAUAGAACAGGCUGAACUCACAGAGAUCCUCCUACCUCCACUUUCUGAGUCAUGGACCACCCACCACGCCUAGGUUUAAUUCCUAGCACACACACAGCUGCUCACAACCUUCAGUUCCAGAGCAUCUGAUACAUUCUUCUGGCCUCUGUGGGCACUACAUGCAUGUGCACUGCCUGCAUGUGAGGCAUAGGCAUAUAAUACACCUAUGUGUUUAUUUUCUU